rnacentral:tRNA from 1 species
CGCAAGGUAGAGCAGUUGGCAGCUCGUCGGGCUCAUAACCCGGAGGUCGCACGUUCGAGUCGUGCCCUUGCUA